AUCACAAAGAAAACGCCCGUUUAAUCGCUCAUCUAUUUGCACAGUAAUAGUAUGCAGUUUCAUACACGGGCAACAU